rnacentral:rRNA from 1 species
UAGAGUUUGAUCGUGGCUCAGAACGAACGCUGGCGGCAUGCCUAACACAUGCAAGUCGAACGAGGCCUUAGGGCAUAGUGGCGCACGGGUGAGUAACGCGUGGGAAUGUGCCCUUUGGUUCGGAAUAACUCAGGGAAACUUGUGCUAAUACCGGAUAAGCCCUUCGGGACAAAGAUUUAUCGCCCAAGGAUGGGCCCGCGUCGGAUUAGCUAGUUGGUGAGGUAAUGGCUCACCAAGGCGACGAUCAGUAGCUGGUCUGAGAGGAUGAUCAGCCACACUGGGACUGAGACACGGCCCAGACUCCUACGGGAGGCAGCAGUGGGGAAUAUUGGACAAUGGGCGAAAGCCUGAUCCAGCCAUGCCGCGUGAGUGAUGAAGGCCUUAGGGUUGUAAAGCUCUUUUGCCCGGGAAGAUAAUGACGGUACCGGCAGAAGAA